UUUUUUAUGAGCACAAAUCAAAUCAUAUAUAUAUAUAUAUAAACAAUUCUAGAAUCCAAACUUUCAUUCAAUUAAUUAAUCAUAAAUCAACAUAAACUCGGUUUUUUUUAUCAGCAACACAAACUCAGUAUCUAAAGGAUAUUCAAGAAAGAAUAUUAUUGACACUUCCUAGAAUAAUUAUAAAUUAUGUUUUACUACUUUCAUAUGUUAUUUUAAGUUUAAAAAAUCCAAAAUAUAAACACAUACACGUUAUUUAGAUUUCAAUCAAGUUAUCAUAUAUCUGUUAUAUGACAUGUUCCUCUAAUUAAUACUCUUAAAUGCAACCAAGGUCAAUAAAUAAUUCACACAUAUAUGUAUAAUUAUAACCAAAAAUACUCAUGAAUAUCAUCAACCAUAUCACUAUUAGGUGCAUAACGCUUGAGCAACCUUGUUUUCUUGCUAGAGCGAUCUUGUUUCCUCACUUAAACGACCUUACUUUCUUUGCUUGAGCGACAUCUACUCUAUAAAAGAGAGAAUUGAUGCGAUCUGACUCUCGCUAGAACACCAUUUUAUCAUUUGAGUCACCAUCCUUCUCUAGUAUUGAUCAAAUGUUUUAAAACGUAUCAAUUUCAUCAUAUAAAAGUUGCUUGAGUGAAAUUAAAUAAAAGAAGAGAAAAAAUUGGUUUAUGAUUGAAUUUCUAAUUUCAGCAAGAAUUUCUAGUUGAACAAGAAUAUAUCAAAGAAAAAAAAAAUCUCUCUACCUAAUCUUCAUUUGAGUGAAAAUGAUAAAAGGAAUAAAUAUAUUUACCUUAUUUUUGCUUAAGCGAUAAUGUCUCACUUUAAUGAAUAUAUAAAAAAUGAGCAUUAUGCAACAACUAAAAAUGAAUUCAAAACUCUUCCAAAACUUUUUUUAUUAGUUUAAAUAUUCUUAGUAGUUCAUAAUACAUAAAUGUGAUCGUAUAUUGUCCAAAUUUCAUGUUCCAAACAUUUGAACUAAACUGACUAUUCAAAGCUCAAUAUCCAAUUUAAUAAAAUCCAAUUAUCUUUAAACACAACUAAAUUGAUCACAACUAAAAUUAUUUGUCCUAUGUUAGGGUAGUUCACUGCACUUACUUUAUAAUAACCUGAUGCAUAACCUGCCUUCAAUUUUUCACCACCUAUGUCUUAAUCUAUGUGAUAUGGACCAUUAAUAAAGUUGUGAUAUCUCAUUUUUGUAAUAGGUUCAUGUACUUAAUAAUAUGACUAUUUGGAUUAUAAUACCAACUUAGGUAUUCUCCACAUAACCUCUAUAGGCCAUAAUACUAUCUCAAGUACCCACACACAACCAUAAUAGCUCCACGAUAUCAUACAUAUAUUCACAUACAAUAUAUAACAGUAUGUAUAUCAUACAAUUACAUGUAACUUGCAUCUCAUCAUCAUCAUCAUCACCAUCACACACACACUCACACACAUAUAUGUAUAUUUAUAACCAAAAUACUCAUGAAUAUCACCAAACAACCAUACCACCAUUAGGUGCACAUCGCCUGAGCGACCUUGUUUCCUCACUUGAGCAAUCUUGUUUUCUCGCUUGAGCGACCUUGCCUUCUUCACUUGAGAGACCUUGCUUUCUUCGCUUGAGCGACAUCAACUAUAUAAAAGAGAGAAUUGAUGCAAUCAGUUUAUUGCUAGAACACCCUUUUAUCACUUGAGCCACCACCCUUCUCUCGUAUUGUUCAAGUAUCACAUUGAAACUUGAGUGAGGAGCAUUGUUUAAUCCAACAAGUUUCAAACACAUCAUUCACCACUAUUACCUCAACGUUUGAGAAACCACUUUGUCCCUUGAGUGUUGGAUUGGAAGUCAUAGAGGAGAAAGAAUUUUCACAAUAUCUUUCGCACUCAAGCUUCAAGUUAUACCUUAAACGACAUGUACUCUUGCUUUAGCAUCGAUGAUGGUGUUUGAGUGAUCUUGAGCAAUGGAUGCAAUGAUUACUUAUCACUUGAGUGAUAUUUCAACACUCUAAGUGAUAAACAUCCAUAUUACUAUAACCCAACAAUAUGUUUUAACUCUCCAAAACACUAAUUUUACAUUCAAUAAGCGUAUCACUUUAGCUCAAAAUAAUUAUCUCAAACUCUAAAUGCAACUUAACAUAAGUUAAUACAAACGUCAUCAUCAUUCCUAAAUAAUUACCACAUCAAUAAAACUUCAUCUCAACUAACAACAUCAACACGGUCUAAAGUAUUUAAAUCAAUUUGAAUGAAGUAGAUGUAAAAAUUGAUUCACCUUAUGGAGGUAGUGUGUUUUUUAAGUCAAACAACUCCAUUAUCCAACAAUUUCCUUAUAGAUAGAUAGAAAUUCAACUAUCACAAUAAUCAAUAAUCCCUCCUUAAUCAAACCAACAUUAAUUUUAGGUUCCCAAUCCCACAUAAAAGAAAAAAAAGAAGAUUGAAUCAAUUAAAGAACUGAAAACUUACUCUAAUCAAAAUUUCAAUCAAUUUAUCUUGAUAUGUUCUAUGAAGAGAAUGAAUGACUUAUCUACUUAAAAUUUGAGAGAAU
rnacentral:lncRNA from 1 species